CUACGGGAGGCAGCAGUGGGGAAUCUUGCGCAAUGGGCGAAAGCCUGACGCAGCGACGCCGCGUGAGUGAUGAAGGCCUUCGGGUUGUAAAGCUCUGUGGGGAGAGAAGAAUAAGUCGUGGCUAACAUCCACGACGAUGACGGUAUCUCCUUAGCAAGCACCGGCUAACUCUGUGCCAGCAGCCGCGGUAAGACAGAGGGUGCAAACGUUGUUCGGAAUUACUGGGCGUAAAGCGUGUGUAGGCGGUGAAGUAAGUCAGGUGUGAAAUCCCGGAGCUCAACUUCGGAAGUGCACUUGAUACUGCUUCGCUUGAGUACUGGAGAGGUUGGUGGAAUUCUCGGUGUAGAGGUGAAAUUCGUAGAUAUCGAGAGGAACGUCGGUGGCGAAGGCGGCCAACUGGACAGAUACUGACGCUGAGACGCGAAAGCGCGGGGAGCAAACAGGAUUAGAAACCCCUGUAGUCC
rnacentral:rRNA from 1 species